AAACAGUAGGCUAAGCGUACAUCCUACAAACAUCAUGGAAUUGUCGAGUCCAUAUUCCGUACCACAGAGCUGCUUUGCUGAUGAAUUUUCGUGCAUCGCAUGUGUACUGUAUAGGUAGUGACUUUAGUGUUACUACUGUGAAAACUGUCAAAUUUUAUCUAUCACUGUACCUAAUAUCAGCCAAUCAUUGCGCCGCCAUAAGGUCGGAUGAUGUUUGAUCAUAAACAGAAUGUUAGGGGAAUGGGUUGCAUUUUUCCAUUAGAAUUUUCACACAAGACAAAUGUAACGAGUAACAAGCCAAAUGAAAAGUCAGUACCUUAUUUAAGUAUUUCAGGACGUUAUUUAAUUUGAAAAAAAAAAGUAAUUAGUUAUAUUACUCAUUAUCUCCAAAGGUGAUGGAGUUAUAGUAACACGUCUCUUGGUUACACAUUUUUACGAACACUGUGCUUGACCGAGGACAAUCCCCCACCCCGCCCGCCCACCAUCUUCCAGGUCAUCAAACAACCCUGCAGAAAUUAUGCUCUGUCUGUUCUCCUCCAGUCAUGGCACCCACUCUUUGACGGUUUCUAUCUAAAGUGAGCGCACAUGUUUUAGCUAUUAUGCACUUAAAGCAGGAACAACAGAAAAUGUAUGUUGCUUAAUGUAGGAUGUAGGCCAAAAACAGCAAGACACAUUAUAUGUACUUGGUUGGGCUGAUGUUGGUGCUAAAGAAAAUUUAUAAUUUUCAUCAUUAGAAGAAAAUUCAUAACUUGCCAGGAGGUUAGAGUUCCCUGUGUUGAAUCACAAGGAUAUGGUCUAAGUAUGUGCUUUAUAGUUAUGCACUGCGCACUUCAGCUGCUAAAUUGCUCUCCAUUUAUUUUCCACAGCCAUGUAUGCAAUGCAAGUUCUCUGUAAUCACGGAAGCCUGUCACACGUUGGACAGAACGCAAGCCCCUUCUAGAGUGCCUACAUGCACACAUUAACCCCUAAGCCCUGAGCAACCUGUUCAUUCAAUAGCAAGGAAGAACCCACACAAGAAUCAUUUACUAUUCACAGUCAGAUGGUGUGAUCCAAAGUUGUACUCCCCGAGCCACCAUAAUUCAACACUGGUGUUGAGAUAAUUUCAUCAUUUCAUUACUGUGUUUUGUCUUAACAGGAGAUGGUUAGAAUGGUUAGGCUCAGUGUUCCAGGAGUCAGUCCAGACUGACUGGCAAAGGUGGAUAGUUCACGUCUAGAAAGUAAAAAUUCAGACCUAAACCGAGAUUUUAUUUCAACCAACCAGUUGAGAUUAAAGAGUGACAGUCACAGAGUACUCUGGUUGCUGGUUGGUUGAAACAAAAUCUUAGUCUGGAUUUUUACUUUCUGGACCUGAAAUCUCGGCUCUCUGGAGACUGCAGUAGAAGAUGGCCCAGUUUCUCGAAACCUUAACGCUACGUUAUUUGUAAGUUCUGUGUUGAAAGAUAGAACUUACCAAUGACGUAGAGUUAAGAAGGUUUCAGGAAACGGGGCCCAGGACAUUCGUAAAGCUGUUAUACUGGGCAAUGACUCCCACCCUCUGCAGAUGAUCUUAGCUAAGCAGAGGAACACCUUCAGUAAAAGAUUAAGACAAAAGAUAAGCAACGUCGUUCCUCCCUUAGAUUAUUAGACUCGACAACAGGAUGGCCCAAUUCCGGUCCUUGAGGGCCAAUCGGCUGAUUUCUCUGCUAAAAGACACCUACUAAACCUUGCCCUUAGCUGGUGAGCUGAAUAAGAUGUACUUGAGCAGAGAAAUCUGCAAACUAUUUUUCCCUGUAGGACUUGAAUUGGGGAACCUACUCUACAAGAAGUCACCCUCUGGCAGGGAGGAACAAUCAACUGUUUGAAUGAACCAGAACCUCUUGCACACAUUCAAAGAACAUUCCUUUGUUCACUAUACAAACCACUCUGCAAUGCUGCUUUUUUCUUGAGCCGUUACCAUGGAAUUCUUUGCAAUCCUUCCUCUGACAUUCCUUUCACUGUUACUGCUUAUUGUUGUCUAUUAUUUAUUGUUACUGUUUAUGAAUGUGUAAAUGUAUUUUUACUGUCUAAAUUUGUGUAUUCGGUUACUGUAAACCUGCAGUUUCCUUCAGGAUUAAUAAAGUGUAAGGUACAGCUUCAGUUCACAGCCUCACAGCGUUACAACGACCUUAUUAUGAAUUCAAACCAUUUUUAUCAGGGAUUUCCAGACAUCACAGCAAGGCACGGGAAAGUUCUUCAAAUGGAUCUUCAACCCCAACAACUGAUUCCAAGAGAGAGGUUCAAUUGUUGUGAAGAAGGCUUCAGGGCGCCCAAGAAGGUCCAGCAAGCACCAGGAUCAUCUCCUAAAGUUGAUUUAGCUGCAGGAUCGGGACACCACCAGUGCAGAGCUCGGUCAGGAAUGACAGCAGAUAAGUGUAAGUGCAUCUGCAUACGCAUAGAGGCGAAAGCUUUUGAAGGAUGGCCUGGUGUCAAGAAGGGCAGCAAAGCAGCCACUUUUCUCCAAGAAAAACAUCAGGGACAGACUGAUAUUCUUCAAAAUGUACAAGGAUUGGACUAUUGAGGACUGGGGUAAAGUCAUUUUCUUUGAGGAAUCCCCUUUCCGAUUGUUUGGCGCAUCUGGAAAAAAGACUGUUGAGAGUAGAAAAGGUGAGUGCUACCAUCAGUCCUGUGUCAUGCCAACAGUAAAGCAUCCUGAGACCAUUCAAGUGUGGGGUUGCUUCUCAGCCAAGGGAGUGGGCUCAUUCACAAUUUUGCCCAAGAACACAGCCAUGAAUAAAGAAUAGUACAAAAACAUCCUCUGAGAGCAACUUCUCCCAACCAUCCAAGAACAGUUUUGUGACGAACAAUGCCUUUUCCAGCAUGAUGGAGCACCAUGCAAUGAAGCAAAAGUAAUAACUAAGUGGCUUGGGGAAAACAACAUCAACAUUUUGGGUCCAUGGCUAGGAAAAUCCCCAGACCUUAAUCCCAUUAAGAACUUGUGGUCAAUACUCAAGAGGUGGGUGGACGAACAAAAACCCAUAAAUUCUGACAAACACCAAGUGUUGAUUAUGCAAGAAUUGGCUGCCAUCAGUCAGAAUUUGGCCCAGAAGUUGACUGACAGCAGCCAGGGCGAAUUGCAGAGGUCUUGACAAAGAACGGCUAACACCCAAAUAUUGACUCUUUGCAUAAACUUAAUGUAAUUGUCAAUAAAAGCCUUUGAUAUUUAUGAAAUUCUUGUAAUUAUACUUCAGUAUGCCAUAGAAACAUUUAACAAAAAGAUCUACAAACACUGAAGCAGCAGACUUUGUGAAAAGCAAUACUUGUAUCAUUCUCCCACGACUGCACAGUACUUCAUACAAGCCAUUUUUGACUCCAAGCAUCAGCGCACUCACCUACAUUACUUGGUCCAAGCCCUUAUUGACACCAGGAGGACUACACUCCAGUAUACCAUUCCUGGGUAAUGGCCAUCCUUGUUCUAUUGCUGAUUGCUCACUUCCACCACCUGCAUCCAGACCAGCCUACCCCUUUCACCCCUGGGAUGCCAUAUCUAUGUGGCUGUAGUCUCCCAUAGGGUGGGGGAGUACUGUAAAGUAUGGCUCCGUUCUGCUACCUCCACAGCCACAACUACGCUCCCCUCUUUGCUGAUCCAGCAAUACUGACAGCUGCUGCUCAUUUCCAAAGCAUUACCCAUAAUCCUCUGCUGUAUGUAUACAUGGAAUGUACAGUAUAUAAAUCACAGUCAGUUCCCUCUACCACUUGAGAGGAAUUGCAUCUAUGAUCAACUACUAGGUAUUCAGCUACUCUCCAGUUCUUAGCCAAUUGCAAGUUUCUUCACUGGAGUUCUCCCAUGUGCAUCCGAUCCCCGAUCUCUUUCCUUGACAGUGAUAUCCUUGUCUCCUCCCUGUGUGAGUAUGUGUUUCAUCCACCCCACAUCCGCACCAGUGCUCACCUUUCUCUUUGCCCCCAGGACAGAUAAUUCAGUUUUUUGUACCCUGUGUGUACUCUCCACAUCAACUCCUGCCCAACAUUUAUGAUCUAUAACAUUACACUGCUCAGCAAGUUUUUAAUUUCUAUUUGUCAAACUAGGUGAAUCCUGCAGUAUUUUUUGUGCUGAGGUCAAAUAUUUAAUUGGAAUUAGAUAUCACACAAGGAUUUUGAGUAACACAUAAUUAAACUUUACAGUAUAUGGUUGUUUAUGGUGUAUGUGCAUGGCGGAAUUGACUAAUCUAAGUGGUAGAAGUGUAUGAUUGUCUGCUGUACUUGGCCUCAGGAACAUCGCUCUUAAGGGUCAAGCAGUAGUCAGGAAGCAUGUGCUCAGCCCAUUGUCACUCAUACGUUAACUUACGAGUGGAACACGCGUUACAGUUCAAACCACAUAAAGUUUCCUUAUGACAACGCAGUGGUGGGUCACAUGGCUGUCAGAGACGCGACAGCAGGCAGAGUGGAGGUGGCAAGAGGCUUGCAGGUCGCUGUAACAGCGACCAUCUGUCACUGAACGUGGAGGAAACAAAAGACAUGACUGCUGUCUUCUGGAAGUGUCAUGCUGAUCAUUUUCCACGCUCCAUCAAAAGCUCCAUGCACUGUGAAGGCCAUCAGACACUCCAUGUUUCACAGAUGACCUCAUAAUGAAUUCAUGCAAACUACUCAUUCAUGUGCAACUAGAUUACACACACUUGCAAAUCACAUGGUUAAAUAUAGCAUUGCUUUUCUUGAAGAACCUCACCAAAGUUCAUAUUCUAGUUGGCAGCAGAGCAUGAGAGCAUCCUGGGGGUUUCUGAGAAGGCCAUGCUCUUAUCAACACCGUCCCUCCCUUCCCCUAACAUGCUAGCACCCUGUGACCUGGUGGGCAGCCCACACCCCUGUGGAUGGAGUGCAAAACAAACAGCAUCGAUAGAGAAUAAAAAGCUCAGACCUGCUCUGGACUUCACACAAGUGCCUUGUUUCCUCCAAUGUGGAGUUGAUGUUGAGCUGGAUCUCACUUGGUGCCUUUUAAGAACCUGUCUACAUUUCCACCGGUUUCAAAAAAGAAUGGAAUGGAUAUGUUAUAAAAGUGGAAGUGAGAACAACCCUGUCUCUAUAUUCACAUCUGUCUUCAUAAAGGCUUCACAAUCUGAGUGUGAUGAAGAUCUGUCUGGAUUCAAAUGUGAAGCUAAAAACAGUUUGCACAGUGGAGACUUGUUGGAGGGCAAUGUUGGUUGUGAAAACCAUGUAAUUAUUGGGCAGUGAAGAUAGAGACAAUACUGAAAAGCCAUUGUAUCCUGGUGCCCCUGUUUCAAAAGGAGAAAGUUUACUGAUGCUGAUGUCUUAUCUAUUACGGCACAAUUUAAUUGGUGACGCACUCACUGAAAUACUGGAAAUGUUUAAUAUAAUGUUUCCAGGUCUUAUCCCAUCUUCACAUUACCUUUUUCAUAUACAAUUUGGAAGUUCCUCUCAAUUUGAGGUUUACUUUUAUUGUGAAAGUUGUUUGAAAUACUUUGGCAUAAAAACAGGCUGUCCCUCUCAAUGUGACUUUUGCCAUUAAAGAAUGGCUUCUGUUUUUUUGUGUUGCCCCUACAGUAUAUGCACAGAGUAAGUAAAUUCUGCAAGAAUAUGCUGUCAGUCUUAAGGAAAAAACUCAAAGUUUUGGGGUUUUCUCUGACAUACAGUCUGGUAAAGAGUAUCAAAAGUUAUGUGACAGUGGAGUUGCUGGAAAAGAUGACUUGACACUCAUAUGGAAUUGUGAUGGUGCACCAGUGUUCAAACGUUCAAAAUGCAGCAUUUGGCCAAUUCAGUGUCAGAUAAUUGAACCAUCCAAUGUCAGCAUUAUGGUUUGGACAAAGUAAACCGUCCAUGGUAACAUUAUUAACACCAUUUGCUAAAGAAGCAUCAUUGUUGGAGAGUGAGGGUGUUCACUUGAAAGACUUACAGGAAAACCACCAGGCCACCCCAACUUGGCUAUUUCGUCCAUGGAAAAUGAUAAUUGUGCUUUUACUUCUUCACUGUUCUCUUUAUCAUCAUCAUCAUCAUCAUCAUCAUCAUCAUCAUCAUCAUGUUGUUCUUCGCUGCUCGAAGAAUCACUCAUGUCAUCAUCUGUAUUUAUUAGUUCAUAUUCAUUGUUGUUCUAAAGGUUGACAAAAAAUAAUAAUGAAUCAAAGAAUAUCACUGAAUGUUUGCAUGCCCUUUGUAUUUAGUGGAUUGUAGUAUGUUUUGAGAAAGUAAGCAGUAGAACAAAGUUUGUCCUUUGGCCAAAAUACAUGCAAAUCUUUCUGUAUUGAGUAUAAAUACAAAUGGAUGAUACUACAUUCAGUAUUUUGUGUGCAAUACAUUCUUAAAGCAUUCUAACAAUUUUUUUACAAAGUUUUUGACAUCACCCAUUCAUUCUCAUUUCAAUUCUAGAAGAAGUGCAAAUUUGAUUCCCAACAGAUCUGUAAAAAAAAUAUUUUGUUGUGCUGGAUUUUGUUCAUGUUUGUAACAAUGAUUGGGGAUAAAAUGGGAAGGAUUUGUACCAUUAGGCUGACCAGUAGGCUUUAAUUGGUCAGCCUGAAAGGAGCAAGAAUGUUCUAACCAAGUUCAGUGCCACCCUAGCCUGCAAAUUUCAAGAUUUGCUGCGCUGGAGUAAUAGGUUUGCUGAAAACACAUAAUAACAAUUCCAAUAAUGUGUACCUCUUCAAUGCCAGUACCCACCAUGUCAGUUGUGGUGAAGUUUUCAGUGUCCUUUUCAUCAUCGUCAUCGUCACCAACUUCACUCUUUGAUGCAUUACUGAUCAUCUGCAUUUGCUAGGUCAUGUUCGGUGUUUCUGUUUUACAGGUUAAAGAGAUGAAACAUACUGUAGUAUCAAAUGUAAAGUAACAUUUUUCUUUCUUUUCUUGUAUCACAAUUAAUAAUUGAUUCAAUAGUUUUUACCAUUUUAAUUUUUUUUUACAAUUAAUCAAUAUUUGAAUGGUCUGAUUUUUGGACCUAGAAGUGCAGGAUAACAUACAAUGGGGCAAAAAAGUAUUUAGUCAGCCACAAAUUGUGCAAGUUCUCCCACUUAAAAAGAUGAGAGAGGCCUGUAAUUUUCACCAUUGUUCACCAAAUUUCACCAAAUUUCACCUCAACUAUGCGAGAGAAAAUGAGACAAAGAAAUCCAGAUAAUCACAUUGACUGAAUUUGAAAGAAUUUAUUUGCAAAGUAUGGUGGAAGAUAAGUAUUAAAGAUUUCUGGCUGUCACAGACCCGUAACGUCUUCUGUAAGAGGCUCCUCUGUCCUCCACUCGUCACCUGUAUUAAUGGCACCUGUCCACAACCUCAGUCGCACUCCAAACUCCACUAUGGCCAAGACCAAAGACCUGUCGAAGGACACCAGAAACAAAAUUGUAGACCUGCACCAGGCUGGGAAGAGUGAAUCUGCAAUAGGUAAGCAGCUUGGUGCGAAGAAAUCAACUGUGGGAGCAAUUAUUAGAAAAUGGAAGACAUACAACACCACUGAUAAUUUCCCUCGAUCUGGGGCUCCACGCAAGAUCUCACCCCAUGGGAUCAGAAUGAUCACAACAACGGUGAGCAAAAAUCCCAGAACCACACGGGGGGACCUAGUGAAUGACCUGCAGAGAGCUGGGAUUAUACACUGUACAAGGCAACAAAAAAUACUACAAGACAAAUAAAGCGUAAGACAAGAGUACAGAAUCAAAUCUACUUACGUUCCAUCUAAACUUAGUUCUUCUUGGAAUUCUGUCUCAUAUCUAUGCACACAAACGAACAGACAAUAAAUUCCGAAGUUCUUUUCAACGCAGCCACUCGCAAUAAUAGACUAGCGUUGAUUUGCGCACGUUCGGUUUGACAGUUAGGCUUUUUGUACUCGUUCAUUACAAGUUGACAUAAAACCUUAACCCAAAAGCAAAAAGAGGAAUUGACAGCGUUAACAACAUUUCCUUUUACAAUGGCAUUUCCCUUAUAUUAUUUUAAAGACAAAACAGUAGAAGUUGGGAAAAUGGAUUGGAUGAGUGUGAAAGACCAGCAAUAUACAUCAUCGGAAAUGAUCCAUAAGUGUCCUACACUCGAUGAUGAAGACGAACUUCCCGUGGUAGUGAAACAGUUGAAGUAAUUAAAGUGUGUCUUGUGCCAGGAUCUGAUGUGAUAGUCCCUCUAAAGAAGCUUAAAUGUCUGCGGACUGCAAAUCCAUCAGUUUAUAUCGGAGACCUUGCUGUGCUUUUUUAUGGCAGGGAAAUGUCUUGUUCAAGUUUGAUGGGGGAACAAUCUGGGGCACACAGAGAUGUGGAAUCAAAGCCACAACUUGACAGUACAAAACUUGAGGCUACAAUUGGCCAUGUUUUGUCAAAGGUUCCUGACAUCAGUGUGUAAGAAGUGAGAGGCAUCAUCAGAAAGAAAUGCAACAAUGAAAGUUCCACCAAGCAAACAAAGAAGACCAAAUAAAAACACCUUCCAUAUACUGUAUUUGGACAUUUCUUGGUUAGACUCAGCAUUUGAUUUCUCUGCCCUCAAGUUAGUUGUUUAACAGAACUAAUAAUAGGAAAGUUUACACCUUCCUUGUUUUUGUACAGUGUUUUAUUUUGAAUUAAGUCAGUUUAUUUUUUUAACUUUGGCAUACAAUACUUGCUGAACAUUUUGAUUCAUACAUUUUAUUAAAUAAGGUCUUAAUUCUGAAUGUGACUUCAACAUUUAUUUGUUUGUUGUAUGACAGUGGUAGUUGUAGUAUUUGAUAUAUGAUAUACUUCAAAUAUACCUUUGUACUGUAUAUUAUAACUGUCAUGCCCGGCUCGUCGUGUGUGCCACGCCCCCUGCUUACCCACAUGUGCUUCCCCGAUUGUACCCAUCUGUGUCUGCUUAUUUUGAUUAGUCACGUCCUAUUUAAGUCCUGGUCUUACCUGUUCCCCCUGUCCGUCAUUGUGGUUAGAUGUGCUUAUGUCUCCUGUUCUUCGGUCCCUUAUUAAAACCUUUAGUUUACCCCGCUACCUGCCUGUCUGCCUAGUCUGUGCACGGCUGCCCGCACGAUCACCGUUCUGCU